rnacentral:lncRNA from 1 species
GGGGGGCGGAGCACCACUGGCGCGGAACAAGGCGGCUGCGGUUUUGUGGUUAGCGGGCGUACUGGGGAAAGUCACCUUUUCUUUCCCUGCCUGGCGCGCCGGACUAUGUGAGCCGCUUCGAGCCUCCUCCGCAGACACGGCCGCUUACCUAGUCCCAUGACCCGGGCAGGGAAAGCCCAGCUGCGGAGAGUUCCGGAGCCUGCCGAAGGAGCCAGGGGCAAAUGACAGAACUAGCAAUGUUCUGUCACCAUUCUGGUCGUCUUGGAGAUCGGAUGCCAGAAGCGGUGUGUGCAAAGCAGAAAGCAUCAUCAAAUCACGACUCGAGGGUACCACACCUUCUGAUGGCAGCCUUGGAAAAAAAAAGAAGAUUCCAACACAGAUCAAAGGUCAGCAGCUCUCUAUGAACUCCUCAGGACUCCAGCACCAGAUUAGCACUGCUGAAAUAUUCAUUCCCAGCUGGGUAAUGGUUGCCCAUGCUUUUAAUCCUAGCAGAGGCAGCGGAUCUCUGAGUACGAGGCCAGCCUGAUCUUCAGAGCAGCUCCAGGGCACUCAGGGAUACACAUAGGAAAGUUGUCUCGAAGCUGCCCCCACCAGCCCCCCCAAAAGAUGCCCAGUUUUACGUACAGCACAACUACCAGCCUUUCCACCAGGAGAUAAUACAUCUGUUGUUGUACUAUCCAGCCUCUAAGCCUUUCUGAUAAAUCCCACAUAAAUUAAAAAUGUAAAAAGUGAUUUGGGGCUGGAGAGACAGCUCAGUGUUUAAGGUCUCUUGCACAGGACCCAGGCUUGGUUUCUAGUAUUCACAUGGUGGUUCAUGACAAACCUUCCAGAGCUCCAAUGUCAGAGAAUCCAACGCUCUCUCCCCAGGCAGCAAGCACACACUGGUGCACACAUCUACAUUCAAGUAAAAUACUCAUAAAAUAAAUAAACUCAAUACAAUUUUAAGUGACAUCAGGUACGAAUUAAGAAAUAAAGUGACUCUUAGCCUCCCUUCUCCCACUCCUUACAUUGAGACUUCCUGGGCCCCACACUGGAAGCCUCACACAUACAACCCUUCAGCAAGAGCCCAAGGGAAUGUUGGAAGAAUACUAUGACUCUGACUGACAGGGAGUGUCAACUGAGCUUCCAAACUUUUGUUUAUGGUGCCAGAGAGAUGGCUCAGCAGUUAAGAGCACUGACUACUCUUCCAGAGGACCUGGGUUCAAUUCCCAGCAACCACUUGGUGACUCACAAAAUGUAACUCCUGUUCCAGGGGAUCUGAACCCUCACACAAACAUAGAUGCAGUCAAAACACUGAUGCACAUAAAAAAGUAAUUAAAAAAGAAACCCAGACAGGGGUUCUUGACAUGGAAUGCUUUCUGAUUGCAAUCUCAUGAUCUUCCUUACAGAGGCAGGAUUUUCUGUACUGAAGCUUACCACUUUUAGGUGGCCUGAAACAUGGGAGCUUUUUGCAGACUCUCAAGUGCUGGGAUUAUAGACACGCAUCACCAUACCUAGUUAUUUUAUUAUUACCGAGGGAAGGGUUUGAACUGACGGCUCCAGGGUACCAUCUCCCAUAGUGGGGAAGGCAGGGCAGCAGGAGCUGAAGGCAGCAGGACACAGUGCAGCCACAGUCGGGAAGCAGGGAGAGAAGGGCAAGGGGGAUGGGGAGAGGAAUGAAUGCUGGAGCGUGGCUGCAUCUUGUUUUAUUCACACCAUCGUUAGGAUGGGCCUGCCCACCUCAACUAGCCUAGAUUAUUAAUCUAGAUAAUAUUUCAUGGACACGCUCAGAGUUUUGUCUCCAUAGUGAACUUAGGUCCUACCAAGUUGACAAUCAGGGUUAACCGUCAUAGCUAUCACUAGUUUCUAGAAAGACACUGCGGAAUUUACCUCCCUGCAGCAGGUGAAGCAAGGGAGAGAAGACAGGCGCAGAGUAAGGACUGGUGCCAGGCUUUCAGUUUGCUUUUGGUUACCUGUGGGCUCCAGUAAGGGCCCAGCGCUUUCCAGCCAAAGCAUUAUCUUUUUUUUUUUUUUUUCUUUUUUCUUUUUUUCAGAGCUGGGGACCGAACUCAGGGCCUUGCGCUUGCUAGACAAGCGCUCUACCACUGAGCUAAAUUCCCAACCCCCAAAGCACUAUCUUAAGUGCGCGUUAUAUGAAGUGUUUGUCCGAGGUCUUCUCAGAGUUUCACUAAGGACCACUGUCUUAUGGUGUCGGCGCCAGCACCGACCUGGUACCGAGAAUCGGGCGAAAGCCUACGGGAUGAAAGAAACACACAUACACACACACAGGUUAUUGUGUCAAGCCAGGAGAGGAAGAGAGAAAGAGAGAGAGAGAGAGAGAGAGAGA